rnacentral:rRNA from 1 species
AUUGAACGCUGGCGGCAGGCUUAACACAUGCAAGUCGAACGAGUGGCGGACGGGUGAGUAAUGCAUGGGAAUCUGGCGUAUGGAGGGGGAUAACGACGGGAAACUGUCGCUAAUACCGAGUACCAUCGGAUGAGACCAAGUGGGAUUUGGUAGUUGGUGGGGUAAUGGCCUACCAAGCCGACGAGCGCUAGCUGGUCUGAGAGGAGCACCACCCACACCGGGACUUAGACACGGCCCGGACUCCUACGGGAGGCAGCAGUGGGGAAUAUUGCGCAAUGGGGGCAACCUGACGCAGCCAUGCCGCGUUAAUGAAGAAGGCCUUCGGGUUUUAAAGUUCUUUCGGUGACGAGGCGUUAAUCACAGAAGAAGCACCGGCUAACUCCGUGCCAGCAGCCGCGGUAAUUC